UGGGGAAUAUUGCACAAUGGGGGAAACCCUGAUGCAGCGACGCCGCGUGAGGGAAGAAGGUUUUCGGAUUGUAAACCUCUGUCUUCGGUGAAGAAAAUGACGGUAGCCGAAGAGGAAGCCACGGCUAACUACGUGCCAGCAGCCGCGGUAAUACGUAGGUGGCAAGCGUUGUCCGGAAUUACUGGGUGUAAAGGGAGCGUAGGCGGGAAUACAAGUUGAAUGUGAAAGCUAUGGGCUUAACCCAUAAACUGCGUUCAAAACUGUAUUUCUUGAGUGAAGUAGAGGCAGGCGGAAUUCCUAGUGUAGCGGUGGAAUGCGUAGAUAUUAGGAGGAACACCAGUGGCGAAGGCGGCCUGCUGGGCUUUAACUGACGCUGAGGCUCGAAAGCGUGGGGAGCAAACA
rnacentral:rRNA from 1 species